rnacentral:lncRNA from 1 species
GAGAAUGUUGGAAGUAUGCCCUAGAGGCAAUCAUAGAGAUGAUGAUAUUCCAUUUGUAUCCAUGAUUUAUAUUGUGUUCCUUAAAUAUCCAUUAAAGGCUACUUGAAUUGAUUUGCAAUUAUGUGAAUUGUAUGUGAAACUCUUUACUUGUGUAGUUAUUUUAAAAUAUGUCCCUAGUCGGAGUUCAUGUGAGGACACACAUGAAUAUUAGACUAGUACAUGUAUUAGUUGAUGACUAUGUUUCACAAGUCAUGGAUAUGGAGAUGUCAAACUAAUAAUGUAGGCAUAUAUGGAGACAUGUGUUAGGAUUGACCCAACACGAGAAGUGGUUCUCUCUUCACACAACGUGUACGCUUUGUCCUUAGACCUGAGACUGUCGCAUGUACUCAAGAUGUGGAUCGACUUACUUAGGGGCUAUCAAACGCUACACCGUAAC